rnacentral:rRNA from 1 species
AACAACGCUGGCGGCAUGCCUAACACAUGCAAGUCGAACGAGACCCCUGACUUCGGUUGGCGGGUCUAGUGGCGCACGGGUGCGUAACGCGUGGGAAUCUGCCCUUGGGUUCGGAAUAACUCAGAAGAAAUUUGAGCUAAUACCGGAUGAUGACGAAAGUCCAAAGAUUUAUCGCCCAGGGAUGAGCCCGCGUAAGAUUAGCUUGUUGGUGGGGUAAUGGCCUACCAAGGCGACGAUCUUUAGCUGGUCUGAGAGGAUGAUCAGCCACACUGGGACUGAGACACGGCCCAGACUCCUACGGGAGGCAGCAGUGGGGAAUAUUGGACAAUGGGCGCAAGCCUGAUCCAGCAAUGCCGCGUGAGUGAUGAAGGCCUUAGGGUUGUAAAGCUCUUUUACCAGGGAUGAUAAUGACAGUACCUGGAGAAUAAGCUCCGGCUAACUCCGUG